UGGGGAAUAUUGCGCAAUGGGGGAAACCCUGACGCAGCAACGCCGCGUGCGGGAUGAAGGCCUUCGGGUUGUAAACCGCUUUCAGUAGGGACGAUUACGACGGUACCUACAGAAGAAGCCCCGGCUAACUACGUGCCAGCAGCCGCGGUAAUACGUAGGGGGCAAGCGUUAUCCGGAUUCAUUGGGCGUAAAGCGCGCGCAGGCGGCAGUUCAAGCGGGACCUCUAAUCUCGGGGCUCAACCCCGAGCCGGGUUCCGAACUGGAUUGCUCGAGUUUGGUAGGGGAGGUCGGAAUUCCCGGUGUAGCGGUGGAAUGCGCAGAUAUCGGGAAGAACACCGAUGGCGAAGGCAGACCUCUGGGCCAUAACUGACGCUCAGGCGCGAAAGCUAGGGGAGCGAACAGG
rnacentral:rRNA from 1 species